rnacentral:rRNA from 1 species
UUCCGGUUGAUCCUGCCGGACCCGACUGCUAUCGGAUUGAGACUAAGCCAUGCGAGUCAACCCGCAAGGGUGGCGGACGGCUCAGUAACACGUAGUCAACCUGCCCUAGGGACGUGGAUAACCACGGGAAACUGUGGCUAAACCGCGAUAGGUCAUUGCUGCUGGAAUGGGCAAUGGCUCAAACCUAUAUGGCCCUAGGAUGGGACUGCGGCCGAUCAGGUUGUUGGCGGGGUAAUGGCCCACCAAGCCUGUAACCGGUACGGGCUCUGAGAGGAGAAGCCCGGAGAUGGGCACUGAGACAAGGGCCCAGGUCCUAUGGGACGCAGCAGGCGCGAAACCUUCGCAAUAGGCGAAAGCCUGACGAGGUUAAUCCGAGUGUUUCCUGCUAAAGGAAUCUUUUGUCAGCUCUAAAUAGGCUGAUGAAUAAGGGGUGGGCAAGCCUGGUGUCAGCCGCCGCGGUAAUACCAGCACCCCGAGUGGUCGGGAUGAUUAUUGGGCCUAAAGCAUCCGUAGCCGGUUCUACAAGUCUUCCGUUAAAUCCACCUGCUUAACAGUUGGGCUGCGGGAGAUACUGUAGGACUAGGAGGCGGGAGAGGCGAGGGGUAUUCCUUGGGUAGGGGUAAAAUCCUCUGAUCCAUGGAGGACCACCAGUGGCGAAGGCGUCUCGCCAGAACGCGCUCGACGGUGAGGGAUGAAAGCUGGGGGAGCAAACCGGAUUAGAUACCCGGGUAGUCCCAGCUGUAAACGAUGCAGGCUCGGUGAUGGACUGGCUUCGCGCCAGUCCAGUGCCGCAGGGAAGCCGUUAAGCCUGCCGCCUGGGGAGUACGGUCGCAAGACUGAAACUUAAAGGAAUUGGCGGGGGAGCACCACAAGGGGUGAAGCCUGCGGUUCAAUUGGAUUCAACGCCGGA